rnacentral:rRNA from 1 species
UACGUAGGGUGCGAGCGUUGUCCGGAAUUAUUGGGCGUAAAGGGCUCGUAGGCGGUUUGUCGCGUCGGGAGUGAAAACACCGGGCUUAACUCGGUGCUUGCUUUCGAUACGGGCAGACUAGAGGCAUGCAGGGGAGAACGGAAUUCCUGGUGUGAGCGGUGAAAUGACGCAGAUAUCAGGAGGAACACCGGUGGCGAAGGCGGUUCUCUGGGCAUGUCCUGACGCUGAGGAGCGAAAGUGUGGGGAGGCGAACAGG